rnacentral:rRNA from 1 species
GCUGUGGGCGUUGGAGAUUUGAGGGGUUCAUUCCUUAGUACGAGAGGACCGGGAAUGACGCACUUCUGGUGUGGCAGUUGUUCCGUCAGGAGCAGCGCUGCGUAGCCAUGUGCGGACGAGAUAAGCGCUGAAAGCAUCUAAGUGCCAAGCUCUUCCCAAGAUAAGGUUUCCCUGAAGACCCCAGGUAGACUACCUGGUUGAUAGGUCAGGCGUGUAAGUGUGGCAACAUAUUUAGCGGACUGAUACUAAUCGGUCGUUCGGCUUGAUCGCUUUUUUC